AUUAGCUAUCUAAUGUUAGCUAAAUGUAGUAAGAAGUAAAUUGGCUACAUUUCUUUAAAUUGACAAUUCUGUGAUCUGUCCUGUGAAAGUUUUAAAUUGACACAAUACCUGUUAGCAAAGGUGUCAGCUAGAGUGAUGUGCUGGAGCUUGCAGGGAUUUGUAGUUUUGCAUGUCUACUUUGAUGCUUAUUAGCAUUUUAAAAUCUGAAAGUAAGUAGAACGGAAUAUAUUGAUAAGUCAUCUUGUCCGAGAGAGAUUUACAUGGUUAUCAAAACGUCAGGGUAAGACUACACGUUACCCUUGUUUACAUUGUGCUGCACUGGGGUCAGAACACAAUCAUGGUUGGACAACAUCUUGGUGUCAUUGUACUUAGUGUCUUCUAACAUAUGGAGAACAUCUAGAUUAUGAAACACAUUUUCACAUUCAUUUAUUCAACAUUUAAAAGUAAGCGGUCUCUUAGGGCAUUUAAAACCAGAUAUAUUGCUUCUAUGUGGCAUCAAUAUGAGUCAGAAUCAUUAAUUCUGGUGCCAAAAUUGACGACAAAGUGUAAAUAGGAUAAUUUUGGUCAGUCUCGUCCGAAAUUGAGUUUUGUCAGUGAGUUCUUUACGACUUACUGGAGUGUUGGGUAUACAUACUUAAGUAUCAAACGUAAAAGUAUAAAUCAUUUCAAAUUCCUUAUAUUAAGCAAACCAGGAGGUACCAUUUUUCUUUUUUUACAGAUAGCCAGGGGCACACUGCAACACUCAGACAUCAUUUACAAACGAAGCAUGUGUUUAGUGAGUCCGCCAGAUCAGAUGCAAUAUGGAUGACCAGGAAUGUUCUCUUGUUAAGUGUGUGAAUUGGACCAUUUUCCUGUCCUGCUAUGCAUUCAAAAUGUAACGAGUACUUUUGGGUGCCAGGGAAAAUGUAUGGAGUAAAAAGUACAUCAUUUUCUUUAGGAAUGUUGGGAAGUAAAAGUUGUCAACAUAUAAAUAGUAAAGUACAGAUACCCCAAACAAACUACUUAAGUAGUAAUUCAAGGUAUUUUUACUUAAGGACUUUACACAACUGCCAAUUGCCCAGAGACAACACGUUGUGCUAUGUCCCCAGAUGCCAUGUGGACAUUUUUUGUCAAGUCUGCAUAUGGGUGCAACGCAAGCACAUUUUUCUCGCAAAUAGGAGUGAAAAUGGGCUUCCAUAAAGUUGGUGCAAACUUCCAAUGCAUUUCAACAAUAUGGCCAGGAAUGGAUUACUUGCGACAGUUUAUCUUCCGCUGCCUGUCAACCGUCAAACCACUGGUGUUGGCUACAUACAACAGCUGGUGGAUUUGUUGUUCAGCAGCAUCUAGGAACCCUCCUACCAUAUCAGGAGCUGUUAGACACUAGUCCCACUUCAGAGUAAUGGAGGACACUUGAAUCAGGUUGGUCACAUUUGAUUUGGUCAAUGGUCAAAACACGAUCUGUCCUGGAAUUCACCUAACCACCAUUGAUAAUGUAAUCAUUGCUGUGUGUGUAUAUGUAUGUUGUAAGGAGGUGCCCCCUUCCACACUGCCAAUGGUCUACUCCUGGGCCGAGUGAGUAAUGCCAUGCUGGCACGUGUCCCUUGUGAUUUAGCUGUGAAUCAGGAUCUCUGAUUGGCUAUGUUGAAUUGUGUAUUUACUGUUGGCUUCCAUGACUGUAUGGUGAAUGUCUUUCCCUCUCUCCCUCAGUGAUAUGAUGCUGGGUUGGAUAUACAGUGCAUUUGGAAAGUAUUCAGACUCCUUCACUCUUUCCACAUUUUGUUACAUAACAGCCUUAUUCUAAAAUGGAUUAAAUAUUUUUUCCCCCUCAUCAAUCUAAACAGGUUUAGCCAUUUUUGCAAAUGUAUUAAAAAUAAAAAAACGGAUCAAAUUGACAUAAGUAUUCAGAUCCUUUACUCAGUACUUUGUUGAAGUAGCUUUGGCAGCGAUUAUAGCCUUGAGUCUUCUUGGGUAUGACGCUACAAGCUUGCACACCUGUAUUUGGGGAGUUUCUCCCAUUCUUCGCUGCAGAUCCUCUCAAGCUCUGUCAGGUUGGAUGGGGAGUGUCGCUGCACAGCUAUUUUCAGGUCUCCAGAGAUGUUCGAUCGGGUUCAAGUCCGGGCUCUGACUGGGCCACUCAAGAACAUUCAGAAACUUGUCCCAAAGCCACUCCUGUGUUGUCUUGGCUGUGUGCUCUUAGUGUCGUUGUCCUGUUGGAAGGUGAACCUUCUCCCCCAGUCUGAGGUCAUGAGUGCUUUGGAGCAGGUUUUAAUUAAGGAUCUCUUUACUUUGCUCCAUUCAUCUUUCCCUUGAUCCUGACUAGUCUCCCAGUCCCCGCCCCUGAAAAACAUCCCCACAGCAUGAUGCUGCCACCAUGAUGCUUCACUGUAGGGAUGGUAUUGGCCAGGUGAUGAGCGGUGCCUGGUUUAUUCCAGACAUGACGCUUGGCAUUCAGGCCAAAGAGUUCAAUCUCGGUUUCAUCAGACUAGAGAAUCUUGUUUCUCAUGGUCUGAGUCCUUUAGGUGUCUUUUGGUUAACUCCAAGCGGGCUGUCGUGUGCCUUUUUUACUGAGGAGUGGCUUCCGUCUGACCACUCUACCAUAAAGGUCUGAUUGGUGGAGUGCUGCAGAGAUGGCUGUCCUUCUGGAAGGUUCCCCCAUCUCCACAGAGGAACUCUUGAGCUCUGUCAGUGACCCACGGGUUCUUGGUCAUCUCCCUGACCAAGGCCCUUCUCCACCGAUUGCUCAGUUUGGCUGGGCGGCCAUCUCCAGGAAGAGUCUUGGUGGUUCCACCAAGUGCUCUGACAUCCAAUUUCAACUGUGGGACCUUGUAUAGACAGGUGUGUGCCUUUCCAAAUCAUGUCCAAUCAAUUGAAUUUACUACAGGUGUACUCCAAUCAAGUUGUAGAAACAUCUCAAGGAUGAACAAUGGAAACAGGAUGCAUAGUCUCAUAGCAAAGGGUCUGAAUACUUUUAUCAAUUUUCAAAGCUUUCUAACAACUUGUUAGCUUUGUCAUUAUGGGGUAUUGUAUGUAGAUUGUUGAAACAACAUUUUUUAUUUAAUCAGUUUCAGAAUAACGCUGUAACGUAACAAUGUGGAAAAAGUGAAGGGGUCUGAAUACUUUCCGAAUGCCAUGAAGAAGCUAAAGUCGGGCUCCUUCAUGACCAGUAUUUCUGACAAGAGGGGCCUGGAGCUGUUCUACACUGCCAUGCCAAUCAGGUGUUGGCAAACACCUCCGAAGGGACAAAAGAUGGGCAGAAGAGAUGCUUUUGGAAUCCUCUGACUCAAAGACAGAUUGAUACUGCUGUGUGAAUUGUGAGAGACCUUGCAUUAAAAUGAUACUAGUACUUUUUAA